UCUGAUCUCUUACCCCAG
rnacentral:miRNA from 1 species